rnacentral:lncRNA from 1 species
UUUUUUUUUUUAUGUUGUUCUUCUGCCCAAGGUUUUUAAAUUCUUACCCAAAACCGUGUAAAUUCAACCAUGGUGGUGGCAGAGAAAAGGGGAAGUUAGGCAAAGUAGCAGCCCAUCAAAUAUCAAUAGUCAAUACGGAAGAAGACCCCAUUAAACAACAAACCAAGGAAUUGGGGGAAUGCCUUCCUUGUGAAAGUCUUAAAUAAAAGUCAUGGGAGAAACAAGGUAAAGGGAACUAACCCCCCCUUGGACAACUUUAUGCCCAUAAAGAGAAUUUAUUGAUUUGAUUGUACACAUCGGGUCAUGUGAUCGAGUCUGAUGAACGAUAAACUUAAGUAUGUGAACGAUCGUAUUAAUGCUUUAAAGCAGAGUUCAGGGUUUUGAAUUUUUACUAAUUAGGUUGUAGCUGGAAAUUCAGUACUCAUUUUUAUCAUUUUGUCACUUAUUGCUAUCUCAUCUAUGAAAAUAGUACACAUCCUAACUUGGUUGAGUUUCAAGUGCAACAAUCCACUGACCCAGAUAAGCUCUGUAAACAAACAUUGUAUUACUUGUUUUUCAUUACUAGAUAUAACGAACACGUACACUUUCUCCUAACGUCGCCUAAUAGUUUAUGCCGAUUAGAUGACGAGUUGAACCGAUUUGUAAGCAUUAUUGAUGAACCAACUAACAAAAAAUGUUCACCCAAAUGCGAAUUUAAGGCAAAGAGGGAGAGCUAGCUUAGCCAGGUACCCAAGGCUGUCAACAAAAAAGAUAGUGAAAAAUCUUUGUCAUAAGAAAACAGACAUGCUUGCAGAAUCACAAUCACCACAAGCUGACUUCCAUUUGCAGAAAUACUUCAUUUGUCCUUUUCUAUCAUCCCCUUCUUUUUAGGUCCUUAAAUACCCAACCUUGUUAUCAUUAGAAGGUUUUAUUUAGACCGUAUGUGAGAUUAAAUCGGAAAAUAUAUGGUUCACUUAUUUAAACAAUAAUUCAAUUAUGCUUUUAUUAUGAUACAUGAUUGAGUUAUUAAUCGAUUUGAUUACUCCUUAAUUUAUUUUUUAUUACUUUUUAUUCUCCAACUUGUCGUUAGUCUUUAUGAAAUUCGAUAUCUUUCGGACUAUUAUUUGUUAUUUUCCAAUUUGUGGUUAUGUUUAUUUCUUAUGGCUAUUUGUUGAUUUAUCUAAACUACUGAUUGGAAUGGUGAAAGUGUAGUACUUGACUACUUGUAUUUCCCAAUAGAUAUUAGCAAAACUCUUUUUGUUUUAAGGUGUUACACAACCACAAACCACACAUCCACCCUUACUACUAAGGACCACCAAACCUCAUAUCUCUUGCUUUUCUUGCCAUUGAAUUCCCCUAUUCAAUGCUACCUUGUCUAGUACUUCCCAUUACACAAAUUUCUAUUGCUUCUUUCUCCAUGUAUGAUAUAUAGUAUAUAAAUGUAAAUUUGUGAAGCUCAACAUUUGUAAAGUUUGGUCAUACUUGUUAGGAAGGUGAACUUGUCAAAAUGGUAUGUUCAUUAAGGUCGGCCCACUCCACAUUUAUUGUGUACAAGAUUCUAUAUCAUCAUUUGGGCUAAAGUAGUCAUGGUACAUUUUAUACCUUCUUACUUUUCAAGUUUCAACCCCAUACCGUACCCGUAUAUAACUUUUGUGGAUGGUAAAACAUUAAUGAUAACAAUUAAUCUUAGUUNNNNNNNNNNNNNNNNNNNNNNNNNNNNNNNNNAGAUUCGAAUCUAGGAUGUGGAGAAUGUUUGAUCAAUGUAUAUUCACAUAUUUUCUCAACAUCAAUAUCGUAUAUGGAAUAAGUAAAAAGGAUGACAAGUCCUUGUGGGAUCUGGGAUCGGUAUUGCAUGUUGUUUGAUAGGACAUACUGUCUUGUGUUCUUGUAGUGGCUUGACCAGAUUUGUAAGUAACUUGACCAGAUUUGUUUGAUUAAAAAACAGAGUUCCACCAUGUCUUAAAUAUCUUCUAACUUUUUUUAUAAUAAUACUAUCAUAAUAUAAGUAAAUGAUUAGAUUAGUUUGUACGUAUGUUCAAGUAUGACAUCUAAAUAACAAUCAUAUAUUUCGUAAAAACUCUAAUCACGUAUUUAUAACAACAACCCUAAUCAAAUCGUCAAACCAACACCAAAAUAGAAUUGGACCACAAGUGGAUUUCACCUUAUCUUUCCUCAACAACAUCCUACCUACAUGUAGCUUUCAAUCAAUAAGGUGGAUGGAAAAAAGGAAAACACACACCAUCAUGCUUGCAAACACAAGCUCAAGACAUUGAUGGUUCUUCAAUUAUAUUUGUGAGAUUUGGCCAGCUAGCUAGAGUAAGAUACAAGUAAUUUGGCAUUGCAUGUAGAUGGUGACCACUUGAAUUUAUAUCUCUACACAUACAAAAAUCCAUUGUCACAAGCAAAGGCAUUGGAUACCAAGUGGGCAUGCAGUACUACUCUUCAAUGAACUCCUGAAUUGAAUUUGCUCACGAAUUGGAUGUGCCAACAAAAAAUAAUAAACAUAAAUAAUUGUGGUUAUUUGAUAUAUAUAAAUAUUCAAUUUUGGUGUUCUGUGUGUUCUGAUCUGAUUUCAUAUGCACACCACCACUACUGCAAUUGGAGAAAGGGGCCAUCUGAUUUUAAAGGCUUUUGCUCUCUGCUCAAGAAAAAAGGCAACAAGGACCAUCCAUACAUAUAUAAUGCAUCCAACACUCUUAUUCAAUAGCUCCCCACCCACCCUCCACACUUUUGUUGCACUUACAUUCCCCGUGGAAUCCGUGAGACCUUCGACUAUCGAUUUACUGCUUACGUUAGUCAGUUCGAUUUUGAAGUGAUGUGCGUUUCUAGUUUUCUAUUUGAAAGAAAUGUAGUGCAUUGUAUCUUAGUUUAGAUCUAUGAGUGAUCAAUUAUCUAACAACGCCAGCAAAUUAGUUUAUUUAUGGAAUCAAAGUGGACUAGCUAGUACUUUGAUAACAUUAUUGUGGAUUUUAUUUUUCUUGGUUUUCAAAGACAAUGGUCAUGGUGUGUUUACCGUGAGUUAAUUUGUUACAAGAAGUCAGUGAAUCAUUGAUGGGAUGGGCUUCAAUUAUUGAAGUGGUAGUAGUAGAAGAAACUUCUUUCACAUGCAUCUUGGUGGCUAAACAAGCAAAUAUCUAUAAAUUCUAAAAUUCCCACCUAGAAUUCCUUUGGUUUUGGUAUUUAAUGAGGUUUAUUAAUGGUUCUGGGAAUUUGGUGAAUCUGGCUAUACUCAUUAUUAUGUGUUUUUGGAAAAUGUAGUAUUUUAUUGGAGUCAUAUACUAGCUUUUUUACAUUUGAGUUUUGACACAUUUUGAAGGAAGUGAAAGAAGACCAUAAUAUNNNNNNNNNNNNNNNNNNNNNNNNNNNNNNNNNNNNNNNNNNNNNNNNNNNNNNNNNNNNNNNNNNNNNNNNNNNNNNNNNNNNNNNNNNNNNNNNNNNNNNNNNNNNNNNNNNNNNNNNNNNNNNNNNNNNNNNNNNNNNNNNNNNNNNNNNNNNNNNNNNNNNNNNNNNNNNNNNNNNNNNNNNNNNNNNNUCAUUCAUUCCUUCACCAAAUUCAAAUGAAAAAAUAUGUUUCAAUCUUAAUCAAGGUUUGAAAUUUACAAUUCAUUCUUUUAAUAAUUUUUUUUAUGUUGAGACAUUGACCAAACUUGACGUUUUAGUUAAAAUCUCUUUCAUGAUUUUGUUAUUCACAGUAUCACGAUAAAUUAUUUCUAAAUAUCUCAUCUAAUGAGAACAAUAUAUGAGAAUACUUAUUGAAUUUAAUUCUCUAAUACUUAUAAUAUUUGUGUGUACUGUAGUAGUAGUACUAUAUGCAUAUACACCAAAACAAUACGAAACACAUUAGACCAAAUAUCGACAAAAUUAUUUGUUACUGGCCAAUGUGGAGACAUGCACUAGAUGUACAAUCACUUAGCAAAUACACUGUAUAUAUCUACUUUAUGAUAGAUGUUUAAUUUCAUACGAGUGAAUGGUUCAUUGAUUUACUAAAAUAUAUUGAUACAUAUUUAUUUUAAAGUUUGUAUGAACAUAACUACUCAAUAGUGUCUAGAAUAGACAAAUUUAUCUGUCUUAAGGCACAAAAAUCACCAAAAUUCCUGCUUGGUUGUUUCAAACUUGUGAGAAGCCUUGUGUUUUGACUACAAGCUCCCAUCAAAGUUCAUGGAAACAUGGAUGGAGACCAAAACUUCAAACUUCAACCAGUUUAUAAAAUUUAGGUAAAUUGGUAUACUUUGCAAACAGACAGUCAACAGGAACAGUUGAAUGUUUCAAGGGGGUCAAUAAAAUAUCAUGGAAAGAAAUAAAUACAAGUGAAAAACAUAAGUAAAGUGGUAGAUGAGUGAACCAAGCUCGGUCAUUGUAUGCCACCACAUGAAAUAAUGUUUUUUUAAUCUCUGUCAAUCAUUUAAUAAGUUUUGUUCAUAUAUAAUUAUUUUUUCAUAGUUNNNNNNNNNNNNNNNNNNNNNNNNNNNNNNNNNNNNNNNNNNNNNNNNNNNNNNNNNNNNNNNNNNNNNNNNNNNNNNNNNNNNNNNNNNNNNNNNNNNNNNNNNNNNNNNNNNNNNNNNNNNNNNNNNNNNNNNNNNNNNNNNNNNNNNNNNNNNNNNNNNNNNNNNNNNNNNNNNNNNNNNNNNNNNNNNNNNNNNNNNNNNNNNNNNNNNNNNNNNNNNNNNNNNNNNNNNNNNNNNNNNNNNNNNNNNNNNNNNNNNNNNNNNNNNNNNNNNNNNNNNNNNNNNNNNNNNNNNNNNNNNNNNNNNNNNNNNNNNNNNNNNNNNNNNNNNNNNNNNNNNNNNNNNNNNNNNNNNNNNNNNNNNNNNNNNNNNNNNNNNNNNNNNNNNNNNNNNNNNNNNNNNNNNNNNNNNNNNNNNNNNNNNNNNNNNNNNNNNNNNNNNNNNNNNNNNNNNNNNNNNNNNNNNNNNNNNNNNNNNNNNNNNNNNNNNNNNNNNNNNNNNNNNNNNNNNNNNNNNNNNNNNNNNNNNNNNNNNNNNNNNNNNNNNNNNNNNNNNNNNNNNNNNNNNNNNNNNNNNNNNNNNNNNNNNNNNNNNNNNNNNNNNNNNNNNNNNNNNNNNNNNNNNNNNNNNNNNNNNNNNNNNNNNNNNNNNNUUAAUCAAAAAAUCAUACAGUUAUAGAUAUGAUAUGGCAACUACUACCGGAAAGGAUGUUUAGGCAUAUAUUACCCAAACCCGAAAUUACAACAUGUGUGUAAUGAGUAUCAACUAUCCGAAUUUGAAUCAAACCGUUGUCAAGCCUAAAUUUAACUGUUGAAAGUAACAUAAUUAUUGUACACCAUAAAACCAUAUAAAUGACCAACAAAUUUUUUCUAAUCUUAUCAGUUAUAAAAAUAAUUCUAAUCAACCCAUCAUUAAAAAUUACUUUAUAUUAGCUUUGUUAUCGAGUAAGAUUCACAUAAACUAUAAUUCAUUCAUUUUUAUGUGGAUCACAAUCACCUUAAUACCAUUACAGUUUUACAAUGUUUAGCCAAUUUGAAUAUGGAUAAAUAUCAUAACAAUAGUUAGAAUAUAAUUUCUUAGUCUUUAUAUUUGUGCCUUCAAUAUAUAUGAAUACUAAGCUAAUGUGCUUUGUGUCGUACAACGCGCGGGCUACGGCUAGCCUCUGCGCAUUGCCCCUAACCCAUCUUUAACCUUAUGUACUCGGUAACGUGUUUUGUACUACGGCAAUGCUCAAAUUUGUUGUCCACAAAUGUUGUUUUUCAAUCGCUAUGCCGAAUUUUUAGAGUUUGAAAUGAUGGGUCAACUUAGAAAACAUCAUAAUCAACAUCUAAUAUAAACUUUUUAACAUAAUAUCAUAGUUCUAAACCUCGAGAUAGGCUAAGUCGUGGCUUCAGAAAAGCUCCCAUGGAUCGGCCACCUCUUAGAAAAGGUUAAAGAUAUAGAUGGUUGAAGACCAAGAUCGGAAGUUAAUCGUAGGCAUCUAAUCAAUACAAAAAAUUCUUUUUCUCUUUUUGUUCACCCAGAAACCCCGCCUCAUCGGUUCGAUCUCUGAUUCAGUUCUGAAAACGAUGUGAAAAAGUCAUGCCAAACCAAGGGUUUCAAAAAUCAUAGCGAUACCGACAAAUUGAAUCUAUUGAAAUGGUCAAGUGGUCAACUGGCUGGUCCGAUACAUUAAACUAGUUGAACCUUGCUAUAUAUUUUGUAAAUAAGUUAUUACAUUUUUUUAUCCAUUUGAUGAGUAUUUAUCGGUACAAUAUUUGACUACUAGUAUAUUUAAUUUUACAUAUUGUUCAACUGGUAUAGAACUGUAGUUGAACCAUCAAGCUUCUUACCACAAACUUUUUCGAUAUGGUCUCCGAUAAAAUUUUGAGAACAAUGGUCAUAACCAGAUUUAUUUUUUAUUUUUUAUUUUAAAUAAUAAAAAUAAUGAUUUAUUUAUUCGUUUUAACUAAUAAAAAUAAUCAAUAUUAAAUGAGACCUAACAAUUAGGUACAAAAACUGAAUCCAAAAAAGAAUACAAUAAGUAUUUAAACAAAAUGAAACAAAUUACAUAUUAUUUAUAAUUAGUCCAUCUUUAAUUUUGUUACUUUGAUCAUUUUAUUUAGAUAGAUUNNNNNNNNNNNNNNNNNNNNNNNNNNNNNNNNNNNNNNNNNNNNNNNNNNNNNNNUUAUAUAUUUUUAAUCCCCAUACUUUUUUUUUUAAAAAAAAAAAACCAGAUAGCGUUUUACUUCAUUCAAUUUUCAGCCAACGGAUCGGAUAUGAUAUAGUUUGAAAUAUAAGGAAUUUUGGAGGUAUAACAGUUUGAUAAAUAACUUGCAUGUUUUCCCGGCGAGGAUUUGAAAUUUUGAACAAAAAUACUAAUUUUAAUGGUUUGGUUGAUUUAUAAUGCACCACCCUUGAAUCCUUAUAAUCAAGUUGUUGAAGACGUGUGUGUUUGACGAUAAAUACAAAGUAUAAAAGUAAAUUCACUAAUGUUAAUUUUAANNNNNNNNNNNNNNNNNNNNNACUAAUGUUAAUUUUAAAUUCCUACUCAGACGAACAGAUUCAAAAUGGAAUAUGAAAUCAAUCAUACAUGAGACAACACUGAGAUUUAAACUCUCGUCCAAUUCCAUGCAAAUUUCCUUUCUAGACAUACAAUUUUAUAUCAACCAUCCUCAAGUUCCAAAACUAAACAAGUUCUAAGAUAAUUAAUAGUGAAUAAAUUUAUAUAUUUAUUAUUAACUAGACUAAUACAUAAAUAAUUAGUGAAAAUGGCUAUAAGAAAAGACCCUGUACAUUGAGGAUUGGUAUUCAUACUCUAAGUGCCACCAAAGUCCUUAUAAGUUCUUGACUAGUAUGUAAUCCAAAACCCCAAUCCCAUGAUCCAUUGAGUUAAUGACAUUGGAAAGCAUAAUGACAGUAAUUAAGAAUGAUUAAUGUUACGUGAAAAGAAGAAAAUGACACAACCUAAACACAAUUGGUGUCAAAUUUAAUUGCAACCACGGCUGGCAUGCACUUGUUGAUUAGAUUCAAUCACGAUUCUUGAGGAAAAAAUUAACACACACAGUGCCAUUACACGUGAAGAAAGGCAAUAACAAUCCUAAACAAGAUCAGUUCAAAUUUUAAGUAAUGAAGCACUAGAUCAUUGCAUGGAAAAGGGAAAUCAUANNNNNNNNNNNNNNNNNAAGGGAAACUUUUUUCUUGUUAAAAUAUUUUUGCAUUCAAAACUUAAUAACGAAAUGUCGAUUUUUUUCGCUGUUAUAAUCGGAAAAGUCCGGUGUUAAAUAAAAGGACAGUUUUUUUGUAGUGGUUAUAUAGUGAGACAUGAAUCCGAAUGAUGAAUGUCCAAAAAAGUAUUUUGAUACAACAUUUGUCUAACUACAAAAGAUUAUUAAUUAUUUUGAUCUAGGUGAAAUAUUAAACCCAUGUCCGAAACAACCUUACUUGAACACGGGUCUCGGUAUGUGAUUACGGUCCGUCAAUUAAUAUGCGAAUCAAACCAAUUUGGAUCAUGGGUUAUUGGGAUGGAAUUAUAACCAGUAACCUAGUACUAGCUAGGGUUAAUUCCAUUAUCUUUUUGUCUUUUUUAAAGUUGUUCCUUGUAAUGUAUAACAAUAGAUUUGUGUGAGUUUGCAAGUAUGUGAAAAGAAGAUAUUCAAUUUAUUCAUGAUAGGCAGACAUACCAGAAGGCACCACACUAUUCUUUAUGAUUGAGAUACGACCAUCCAACAAAUAAUACUCUCUAUGAGCUAGAGACCUUGUGUUUUUAUGUGUAGAAUCAGGCCAAACUUAGGCUGAGCUAUGCUGCCCGGUGCCCACUAAAGCAAGACAAUGUUUAUCCCUAGAGACUUCUAUACUAUUUAGAUUAAUUUUCCUUUUUAAUUGUCGAACGGUUGUAAUGUGGUAUUUGUAUGAUGUAUUUUGAUUAAAAUAAUUUAAAUUGGGUUAUUUGGACUAAAAUAUUUUGUUGUCAUCCGAAACAAAAAUUAUGGUAUUUAAAAACUGUGAUAUUCAAAAUAACUCGAAUCCAGUUAUUUCAAAUAUUUAGGUAUGAGGAUGGUAUUUGAAAUAACUUAAUUCAAAGCCUACAACCCAUUGUUUUGUAUUAGUCAAACAACCAGGGUCGUUUGGAUGAGUUAUUUUGUAAAUGAGGGAUUUGGAAGCAAAAUGAUGUAUGUUUGAAAAUGUGGUAUUCUUGAGGUGCAAAGCAUUUGAGGUGCAAAGCAUUUGUGGUGUAAGAAUUAUCUUGUUUGGCUAAUACAAAAUAAUGAGUUAUGGGUUUUGAAUUGAGAGGUUAAACUUGAGUUAUUUCAAAUGCCAUCUCCNNNNNNNNNNNNNNNNNNNNNNNNNNNNNNNNNNUUAAAAUAACUCGAUUCGAGUUAUUUCAAAUACCACAGUUUGAAAUACCAAGAUUUUCGUUUCAGAUGACAAACGAGGUAUUUUGACCCAAAUCACCCAUCCAAACGACCCCGUAUACCACAUUUUCAAAUAAUAAAUCAUUUUGCUCCAAAAUAAAUUAUCCAAAUGACUAAUAAGUGUUAAAAUUAUUUUAUUUUAUUAAGUCUAAAUUAAGUUUAAUUGAAAUUCGUAAUCAAUUUUCAUUAUAGUUUCAUUUUAAGUGGCAUUUAACUAAAAUGAUAAAUCAAUAUUCGUGCUAAAGUAACUUUUUUCCCCCAAACGACUCCAUCUAUUUUAUUUAUAAUAUAUAGACUAUUAUCAACGAAAACAAAUAAAAUAUAAAAACAUUUUCACCUACGAAAUUCAUGAAAGUGAAAGUGUGUAUAUAUAUAUGAUGGGUGACCCCAAGAAGCCGACAGUAUGUAGCCUCUCCCGCCAAUUCACAUGCAAACAUAACCCACGCCGCACUCUUCCAAACCAAACCAAACCAAACCUCUUUCCUUAAUCUUCUCAUCUCAUUUACUUUGUCAGUUACUCGGUUCCACUCCUACCGACUUCUUGUUUUUUCAGUUUCUCGAUUCUAUAAUAUACUUACGAAUCCAAAUAACCAUCCGAAAUAAAAAUCAUGGUAUUUGCAUUGCAUAAGAAUUAUAUGAUUAACCUAUACACAAUCGGAUCAAUAAACAUGGCUACAAAAAUUUUGUACUUUUUUCCACUGAAUUUAUUUGCAUAAGAAUAAGCAUCAACAUUUAUAUGUCCAUAUCAAAAGGGGCAUGCCUGCUUCACAUAGAGCAAUGUUCUGCAUUGACAACAAAAGUGAAAAUGAAUCUAGCUAGUAAAGCAUAAGCCCGCACCAUUUCACCCAUGAACAUAGAUGAUGAAUGAUGUUUUCCCACCCUUUUUUUUUGUUUUCGCUUCACUCAGAUCGCCUUGCUCGAAAUGCGAACCAAAUCGAUAGAUCCAACGAUCCCUCUUCAGUAAUCACAAACAAUAGGCCAAAUCCUGCAAAAAUCUGAUCUUUCGGGAAGAAGCCUGAUAGUACGGACCACGGGGAUUAAUGGAUGGAAAUCUAAUUGGGUCUCCCAACGAGGCCAGCACAAACCCAUUGGUCAUCUUGUGUUCUGCUCUUCUUUACCAGUGGCUGCUGCUGCUGCUCUAGCUGCUCUCCUAAUGGCAGUGGUGGAUGGGGAGAUGAAGUGGAUGAAAAUGAUCCAUUUCCCACUGCCCAAGAAUCGUUUGAGCUGUCACAGCUAAAUGCAUCGGUAUUAGCUGCAUCAAUCACGCCGCUAGGGCUGCUUGGAUACAACUCUUCGUCUUCUUCUUCUUCUUCCUGUUCAUAGUAGUACUUUCUCUUCUUCCUAUUGCACUUUCCAGACACCACCUCCGUUACCACCUCAUAACACUCCUUCACCUUUUCCUGUUCAUCAUCAGAAGAAAGACCCCACAAAUUUGCAUUCAAUACUUUCGCUUAACAAACAACAACCAUCAUCGACUAAUUAUCAAAAGACCAGCAACAAUAAUACAUAAUUAUGUCUCCCCCAGCAGCACUUUUGUCCUUUUCUUGGUAAUGGAAGGCAACAAACAAGACCAGCUUACACACACCUAGGACGGUUACUACUUACUAGUUACUACUACUGACUACCCAUUAGAUUAGAUUAUUAUCAAACAGUAAAGUAAUCCUUCUUUUCCUUUACAGUUGUACAGACUAGCUUUUGGCAGACCAAAUUUGACUGGGUUUUUUUUGCCUCUGUUUGCUAAUAAACAAUGCCAUAAUCAAGUACAAAAGAAUUGUAUAGGGAGAGAUGGAGGGUAAAAAAAGUGGAAAAAAAACCAACCUUGCUGAUGUUGAGGACAGUGAGUAGCUGCGUCUGAUAGUCAAUGGGGUUAAAGUGCUCAACUUGGUCAAUAACGUGCAUCAUUGCUGCAGUUGCCAGAACUGAUGGCUGAUAUCUGACAGAUCUUGAAUCUGCACGCAGAAAACAUACCCAUAAAGGACAUCAAUCAAUGACUCUACUCUGCCAAGGGGAGAAAACAACUAAAACAGAUGUAUUUAUAUCAAAGUUACCGGAGACUAAGCAGACUAGGAAACUAUGGCAUCUGGUUAGGAACUCCCAAUGAACAUUGCUCUUCAGUCCAAGUCUCCUCACAAUGUGAUCCACAAAUGAGAUCGGAGUCACUGGAUGCAUCUUCCACCCAAGUGCAGACAGCACUAGAAGCUCCAUUCUUUGAAUGGUCUUCGCUUCAAAUACAUACUUUGUAUCCUCAACCUGUAGUAAGUAAACCCAAAAGAGAGUUGGAACAAAAAUGACAUAAAAAAACAAUGUAUAAGUUUUAAUUCUCUCUUGUUGGCAUUUUGUCGAACACCUGAAGGUCAAGAAGAAGAGGGACGUGGGUUUCCUCCACUUUAGCAGCCAGGGAGAGACAAGUGACUGCCACGAGCUGGAUCAUCCAUGGCUUCUCCUUCUGGUAACAAGGAGUCGCAAGGAACCGAUCUAGGUAGUUAAUCGCUAACACGGCGGUGAGAUUCGAAAACCCAUAACGUGCAUUGACUUUCACCAUCCAUUCCACCGCCCGCCGGCGAGCCGAUGAGACGACACCGUCGAAGACGACGGCAACGGAGAUCUUCUCCUCUUUGGCAAAGAGGGAGCGUAGCUCGUCGUCUUCGUAGAACAAGUCCUGUUCCAGCAGCAGAAUUGGAGAAAGACGAGGGAGUGAGUUUGAGUUGUCGUCGGAAUCGACAACUUCUCCCUGGCCGUCGCUGUCGUCGUCCCAUCUCUCUUCCUCCUCGCAGUAAAGGGAAUCGUCGUCGAGCAUUGGUGGUCCGUCGUUAACAGAGAGUUCCGCCGGCGACAUCCUCGGGGAAGGUGUGAGUAUGGUGUCCAGAGGUCAUUAUCCGGAGGAAGUCAUGGUGCUUGUGAGAUUGUCUGUGUGUUAUCAGUUAAUGGGUGAGGGGAAGAAGAUGAAGAAGAAGAUGGAGUUGUGGGAGAUGAGAGAAGGAAGAGGAAGAGAGGUUUAUUGAGGAUGGGAAAACAGAGUGGUCUGCAGAUUUAUACGGAGAAAGAGAAAGAGGGAAACAGUUUGGAGUGCUUUCGGCGUGUGAAGGUUUGGCGGGCAGAGACCUCUGGACAAGUAAAAAAGACAAGUGUUGUGUUGCAGAUUAACAAUGGCGAAUUAUUAUUAUUCAUUGGAAUAUAACAAAUUUAACAAUGGUGAAUUACAGUAAAGGUCACUUCACAUUAAUGUUUAUCGUUCACAUUCAUCCUUUUUUCCUCUCAUGUUAAUUUUUGAAUCUUAUGAUAAUUAGUAUAGGUUAAUUACAUACUAUGAAAUUGUAUUGUGAAUAUGUAACGCUCUAACAUUUUUUAAUAAUAUAUUAUCUGCUUUGGGUCUAGAUUCACAUAAAUUUAUUUUGUUUUGGGGUGCAUGAUGACUUUCAAGAAGUGACACAUUGGCAUCGGCCCCAGUCUAAGCACUAUUUUAUUUAACCUCAAAAUGUGUCUUAUUAAUUUAAGUUAGGUGAUUCUUUAUAGCAUAUGGAUCUCUUCUAUGAAUUUAUAUGGGAUUUAGUGUUUGUAAGCAUGAGAUUUUUUUUAUUUUUGCGGCUAAUAAUUAUCACUGAAAUGAAAAAAAUCAAAGUCAUGUAUAAAUUAUUUGGUGAUAAUUAUGAUGCAUGCUCGUCCAUCACAAAUUUACAGUUCAGUGUCCCUGAAUCAUUUACCAUAAAUAGUUAUGAAUCCAGAGGCAAACAUAUAGCUUUGAGUGAUCAUUUUGUUAGUAUAUCAAACUUAGUUGACCAUGUUUCUUAUGCAUAAGACUUAAGUGACUACUUGGUAAUUAUUCCAAAUUAACAUGGAUACAGGAGAUAGAAAAAAAAAACAUAAAAUGGACACAGUGAAAUAAGAGAAAAAUUGAAAGGGCACACAGACCGAGCCGGGACCCGCUUUUUGCGUUUGGCCCCCUCUAGUUUUGUUUUAUUUUAUUUUAUUUUAUUUCCCCAUAUAUAUAUUCUAAGUGAAUUAUUUAUAUUUAAAUAGUGGGAAAGAGACCCAAGGCAAAAUCUAAAUUCAGUCAACAGACUUGUUGGCCCAACAAAAAAAGCUAGAUUUCGUUGAGCUACAUCGACUAGUAGUGGUGUUCAUAUGUUUUAUAGGACAACAUAUGGGUUUGUACUUUGUAUUUAUAAUUCUAAUACUUGGUGUUGGGUUUAGCUACAACAUAAUAGUUGGUGUUUCACAUUCAAUGUUUGAUAUUUCAUUUACAUAUGUGGGUCACUUUGAAUUAGCCAAAUAUAAUAAUUUCCAACCUACAAAUAAUCCAUCUAAAAAAAUUUGUAAAGUUUGGAUAACGGGUAUCGAGGUAUAUCAAACCCGUCAGAUACUCGAUACCCGUUUGGGUAUACCCGACGGGUUUUCUGAAAUAUCCAUUAUUAACAAAACCUUACUACUAUUAUGAAAAUUUAUCAAACUUAGCUAUUGGGCUAAAUGUGGAGAGUAAGUAAGUAGUUAACUAGUUUCAUUAGUUUGGAUGAUUGAGAAUGAGAAUGCGACUGAAAUUAGUAAGUUAGUCAUCUGAUAUAUGAGUGAGUUUUUUAGUUAUAGUAUUUUUCUUGUUGUUGAUUUGUUUGUUCGAAUAUUUGACGGAUAAUUGAACCAACAACAUCUAUAUAGGUAUAUAGAUACCCGAACCCCAAACAAAUUUGAGGUUUGGCUUGAAUUUCUUUACAUAUUUGAUGCAAAUACCUACUUAAUACAUAUAUAAUUACUCGAACCCGUCCCGAUUUUCCACUCUAAGUAUACCAAUACUCCAAUAGAAUAAAAACCAAUGGUAUACAAAAUUCAAUUUGCACUUGAAAUUUUAAAAGACCCCAAAACACAUCUCAGUUGCACUCUCUUGGGCAACUAAAACAAAAGGAACCAAAUAAAAAUUCUAAUCUAGUAGCUUUUGACCGAGGUAGAUAAUAAAUAAAUUAAUUUGGAUGUUCGUAUUUAGAUUUAAUAUAGGCAACUUACAAUAUAUUUUAUACAAGAUACAAAAAAUUUUCAAGUAGUACCUAACAAAUGGUAAAGAACGCUUAAAAGGUUAUGAGUUUAGAUCAUAACUUUUUUGCCCUUUAAUUAAACUUCCAAUUGGACCAAUCAAAGACACUAAUAACAAAGGGUUAUCGAAAUCUACGACAUAAUUCAUCCUUGCAUAAGUGAGAUCCGUCCCCAUGACAACACCGAAAUUUACUGAACAUUCAAGUGAAAACUCAGUGAUACUCCUUCUCCACCAAUACAGGGUAUAAAAAGAAACCCAACAGGUGAAAACUUGAAUCCACAUUUGCUUGCUUGUUUUGGUGUUGUUGGUGGUGUUCAUACUUCUUCUCUAGUUUACCUAACACUUACCAUUAAAAAUAUGAUGAUAAUAAUAAUGCAAUAAACAAACCAGAUAAACAGAAAAGGACAAAGGAGUUAAUUUGGACAUGAACGAAAGUCAAGAGCAAGAAAAAUCCAAGGUUUCUACUUAUAUGCCAAAGUGGGGACACAACAUAAACUUCCAAAACUAAUGUAAGUAUUUCAGUAUUCCCAAAUGUAGAAAUCCGAUAGGCAAUCAUGUAAUUAAAUUUGUUAGGCUGCACUUGGGUUUGGUAUAUGUCAACGUUUUCUAUCCUGCGGUACGUCUUUCUAUUAGCCCUACUGGAUAGACGAAUUCGAAGGCCAGCGAUGCUCUAAUUUCUAAAAUCGUUGACCAUUUUUCGUCAACGAUUGUAAUUGAUCCAGGGGUAUUUUUACAAUAGAAAUAUUAAUGGUGCCUUUCACACCGGACGACUUCCUUGAUUGAAUUUUAGUGUCGAAUCCUUUCCCGACGUCAAAUAGUCUAUAGAAUCCAUCGCAUUCUUGGUGUGUAGUGAAGGGCAGAAGCUUUCACUUGUCCUUGUCUGUUGGACCUAUGUUCUCCUCACCUACACAAUGUAAGUUACAUUAUAAGACCAUUCUGACUACGUGAUUAUUAUGUGACCUUUCUAAAGAUGUUAUCAUUAUAUUACUAUUCUAACCGUUGUUGUUCUUAUAUCACCAUUCUGACUAUGUUACAUUGUUCUACCAGGAAACGCAUUAAAUGCAAUCCAACAGACUCCAAAAGUAUUAAAAGUCACUCCACAACAAUCCAAAAAAAUAAAAAGGUAACGAAUUUUCCAUAAAUCCCUUACAAUAUGUGACUUUCGCAAUUUUACGAGAAGAAUAUUUUUUUUGUGAUCUACAAGUAUAGAGAAGAACAAAAUCCACCUUUUGCAAGUGGACAUUACAAUAAACAUACAAUGAACAUGUAUACCUUUAAAACCAUUCAUCUGACUCAGAUCUGACUGACUGAAACUACCAUCGCCGAAAUCUUCUUGGGUAACGUCAUCUACAUCAUCUGCACCACCGUAGCUCUCUCCUUCCUCUUGUGGAUGAAAUUUUCAUUCUUCGAAAAGUCCUUGUAACCCCUCGUCACCAACUGAACCUCAACUGCCAUUUAUCUCUUCUACUUACCACUUCAUUCAAUUAACAAAAUAAAGACUUCAUCGUCGUCAAUGACGGAAGCGAAGGAAAUGACCAAACUUUAUCGUCAUCAAUGGCAGAACAUAAGGAAAUGGCCAAGAGAAGGAAAGACGUAAAUAAAAAAAGAAAAAGUUGAUAUUAGUAUUUUAUGUUCAUUCAAUAUAUCAAAUAAUUUUUAUUAUUAAAUUCUAUAUACAAAUCUUGGUGGUGUCAAAUCAUUGACAUGAAAGUACAAUUACAAAAAUACAUUAAGAAAAUAAUGAAAAUAAUGCAGAUUUUUGCGUCAGUCCUUUUCUCGUCCAGUCGAAAUUUGCCAUUCUGAUUCUACCCAUGCACUAUCUUUCAUACUCAUCGCGCGAAAGUCAAAUCAGACGAUCGAAACCAUAUCCUCCCCAGCGGAUAGAAACACAUAUCCGUAGAUUAGAAAAAUUGGGUUUUUCUUGUGUUUGUAUGCCUGGUUCUUUUGUGUGUGCAUGACAUCAAAUUUUUGAUACAUUACUCAUGCCCUGAAUUUUCCUAUGGGCGGGGGAGUGGUACAAGUUACGGUUCGAACUACUGUCAACAUAUAUUGACUAAGUGAAUGUAUGAGAACCGUGAUUAGUACCUUAAGAAGUCGUAUAGAUGAUGAAGUUUGAGAUUGAACAUGGUAUGUAUGUGUGCCGUUUGCUCACUCUACCAUCUCCAUAACUUCAUUUGAUAGGGUAUUACGUGAAUUUAUCUUUGCCACCAACAUUGGAAAAUGAUCGGACGAGAUUUGGCCAAAAAAUUAAAUACCCUGAUCAAAAUCUAAAAAUUUAUGAAUUUUUCAUUAUCAUAGUUCAGGACUUAAGAGGACCCUAAUCAUUUGACGAGAGGAGCAUAUCCCGAAUGUCGGAUCUCCAUAUGUGAUGGUGGUAUUAGAGUUAGCCCAUAACAACUUAACAAAUGGAACUCAUUACGUGUCUAAGAGUUACUUCAAUUACGAAUUAAACUACAAAUUUAUUGACCGUUUAUCUUUUGAUAAAUAAUAUAAAGAGGGCAAUAACUCACUACUAUUACACUAAUUAAGCCAAAUAUGAGUAGUUGUCAAUGGAAUGGUUGUGUUACUUAUAAGUGCCCUUCUUGAUUUUCUUUUGUCAACGAAUAGUCAAUGUUAGACAACUUUUAACGAUGGCUUUUGGAAUUCAGAUUUGCUUGGGUUAUCAUACAUCAACACACAAGAUUUCCACUUUUUGGAAAACAAAUUUGGAAGACAACCCCCCUCUUUUUUUCCCACUCACCCCAAUCUUCGAGCAAGAUGGUGGCAAAUCAAAGGUCCCAAUCACAACUCUAUGAUAUUUGCGUUGGUCUCUCAUACUUUUCAUAUGAAUUAUUUGCCAUACGUCAAAUUCGGCUAAUUUGGGUUGUAAUCUAAUUAUACCGUAAACAAAUGAGGUGUAAUUGAGAUGGUAGUUUUAUCAAUUUUCAGUUUAGAAGCUAAAAACACACUCCUUAUCACCUACACUUUUAUAACACCUUCAAUCUGUUUAAAUAUCGAUGAAAUUAUCAACCCAUCACCAAAAUGAAGUUAAAAGCAAAAACCCAUUUGCCCUUCAAACUUUCUCCAAUCAUAUCUCCCACCACUACCACCUCCAUCCUGGCUGUAUUACAAAGUUGAACCCCCAACAAUUAUUCUGAAAUGACCCACCUCAGAUUUUGGUGGCACCUUUUUUCUCACCUCAUUAGCUUUUUUGAGGUUUUGACUUCACCACAAAUGUGCAGCACUAUAAGCCCUCUGUUGCCUUUUCCCAUAACUGUUUCUUGUUGCUGCUGCAUGAUCACUACUAAUUCAUCUUUUGCCAGCCAAACAUGCAUCAUCCCCCCAAGUGUUGUUGAUUGCCACCUUCAUUGUCUUAAUCAUUGCUCAACAAAAAAGCACUCCACUUUUCUCACUAAUGCUGGCCCUCCUAACCAACAUUGUGGCCAGAGUCGUGGGGUCGGAACAUAAUCGAGGUAAACGAACAUAUUCGGUUGAGUACUAUGUAGAUAAUGAAUGAUUUAUCCGAUAUUUCUGUGCAUAGUGGUCUCUUAAGGCAAAGUUAACCUCAACUGAAUGCUGAUCCAUUCCUAAAAUCAUCGGCACAAUCCACAAAAUCAAAGCGAUGUUAACUUCGUAAUAUCGGUUUCGAAAUGAGGUUCACUUGGUAAGAAAAAAAAUUGCACUAUGUUCAGGGAGUCAAUUGUUCAUACACCUGUGGAUUCAACUUGAUUAAUUUGAAUAAAACUUGACUUCUUAGUUCUCAUCAAUAUGAACGAUGAAAGAAAAAAUGAAAAAAAUUCCAAUUGCGUGUGGCAGGGAGAUUCUGAAAUUGCAGAGGCUUGGUUCGAUCAAGCCACAGAGUAUUGGAAACAAGCUAUAGCACUUACUUCCGAAAAUUAUAUUGAAGCACAGAAUUGGCUGAAGAUCACAAGAUGUUUCGAAUAAUAUAGAAAAGUUUUAAGAUUUCUCAACAACCAAAGAUAACUGUUGAAAAUAUGAUUGGUUUCAAGGAAAGCAGAGGGAAUAUAAUCAAUUAAAAAAAUUUACUGGUGAUGUGACUGUAAUUGAGUAGUAGAAUGACUUAACACUGCUGUUGAGUGCAGUUAACAACCAAUCACACCACUAAUGAGCAGCACAGCUUCUUCCAUGAUUUGAUCCAUUAGUUAUUUAUCAGAAAACAAUCCACUCAAACAAAAUUUCACGACAGAGAGAAAUCAUCACACCUGAAAAAUAUGCAGUUCUAUCUACCAAGAAGGUAAAAAAGUUUGAUUAUACAUGUUGCAUUCCACAAUCAAGCAUCCGAGUUCUUCAUCCCUAAUAUGGUGGUGGAGGGUAAUGUCCAUGAGGACCUACAAAACGAAAAAGAUAACGACCAUUACGUUAGCGUACAAAGAUUUUAUACGCCGAGAAGUAAUGAAUUCGGAGGUACUGGUUAAGAACGCGGCAUUACCUGGAGGAGGGUAAGGUGAACCGUGUGGAGGAGGUGGAUAGGGUGAUGAUGAUGGAGGAGGAUAAGCCGAAUGAGGUGGAUAAGAUGAUUGAGGAUAAGCAUUUGGCAUCGAAGGAUAUGGGGAUGGUGCAUAUGGUGGAUGCUGUUGCGGAUAUGAAGAGUGGGGAUAUGACGGAUAGGCUGCACUUGGGGGAGUGUUAGAGUAACCUGGUGCAGUAGGAGGCGGUGCGUAUGCUGAUUGUGGUGGUGCCGAGUACAUCGAGGCAUGGGGAGCGUAUGCUCCGUGCGGUGGUGCUGAGUGAGAGUGACUUCCAGUUGGUUUCUGUGACAAAAAUGAAACAUACAAAUUCAAUUUUCCACCAUGCAAAAUCUGAAUGUAAGAAGAGAGUAUCUAGGUGCAUAUGCAGGGUCUUACUUUGGCAUUGGCAUAGUGCAUUAUGAGCCGAACUUCACCAGCAUGCCUGAGAUGGAAAAAAGGGUGAGCUUAGGAGAUAAGUAUGAAUCCAUCUGUGCCGAACAGUGAUAGGCAGAUCGUAUCGAACAAGUAGAAUCUCGUACACUAGAGUGAACAUUAGUAAGUACAGAAUUCAGUCAUAUUCUGGCCAAGCUUUUUGUUUUUUUGUUGAAAUUUUAUCGAUUGUUUUAAUUGCUAUUCCCUAUUUGAAGAUUAUGAAUCUUAACUAGGAGGUUAGUCCUAUAUACUGACACAGUUGAAUGAAAUAGAGUUUUCGAGUACUUUGACUUGUUUUUUGAGUGGAUUCUCAAGCAAAGUCCUGCUGUUGGAUUAGAGAGACACCCGGCAGACUUUAUCACAGUCCAUCCUUCAUAAACAAACCCAAUUGCCAUUGUUCUUUUGAAAUUCCAGCACCCCUAACAGAUUCAAGCACAUCACCAUAGCUUAAAGUUCUUCAAUUGAACUCGAUCCUAUUGACGAAGAAGAAGCUUAAGACAAGUGAACUACAAAAUACAAUCUCAGCUAUAAGACUUCACGAACGACACGGGAACAGACUUAGUGGUACCACUACAUCAAACAGACAUGAACCCAUGAUGGUUCAGGGAGUGAUCUUAUAGGGACAUACAAUGGUGCAAUCUGAAUCAAACCCAACAAGACAUCUCAACAAAUACCUGCCAGUUUUCGUUUUAAGUGGCCAGGCUGUAUCAUCAUAUCCCUCUGCAAGAACCUUCUGCAAUUGAACUCUGCAAAAAGAAUUAUUUUUUUGAUUAGAAUUACUAAAAUUGUAAUGACACCAAACCAAUUAGACCAUCGUGAUUUUAUACUUCUCCUUUUAAUGUUCUACUUGUAAAUCUGGGUUGCUAAUAUCAAUAUUCAACCCUACAAAGACAUACUCAAACAUGCUAUGCAAUAGAGUUUACUCACUUGCCAGUGCCAAUGAAGUCGUCAAACUUCACCGUGUUACUGUUCCAAACAACAACAAUCAAUUCCCUCAGACCUUCAAUCAGAGUGAAGACGAACUUCUCUUGAAACGUAGGGUUUUUCCCUCCAUCUACGUGGAACAAUUCACAACAUAGAAAUUCAGCAAUCGAGAUCUAUCAACACAGAGAUCUAAAUCAGAGCAGAAGUUGUUUAUUUUAUACCAGUGCAAGUUCUAGUCCGGGACUUGUUACUGCCGUAUUCAACACAGACGUAAGGGUCCUGCCUCGAUAUCCAUUCCGUGUCCUUCAAUUUCGUGCACCCGACAACUGCGACCAGAACACAACAACAACGCAGAACAAGUUACCAAUCGAUUACAGCCCGUCAAAGUUUCAAUCUUGAAACAGAACAGUAGAGAAAAGAACGUACCGGUGACUUCAAGGAGCUGGCCUUGAAUCCCAGAAGCAAACGACAUUGGAUUAUUGUUGAGAAGGAAAAGAAAGGAUGAAUUGGGGGUGAAUCAAAGUUGACUUAGAAGGGUCUAAAGUUCGCCACUCUGCCUUUGUUCUUUUUAUAUAAACAAAGAGAUAAAGAGGACGGGCGAGAAAUCUGCAGUAACGCUGUUAUGAGAUGGGGAUACUUAACGCUUACAGCGUCUGAGUCGCCAUUGACGCGGCAGCGGGUGAUUUCGUUUAACCGGCCAUUUCCCCUUCGGUUUCAGUAAUUUUAGUUUGCAGAGUCAUAAGCAAUUACGUUACUGUAAACGUGUAAGCGCUCACCAACCAAACUAUACCGAUACAAGUAUCAUGUACAUUUUCCUGUACAAAGUAUCACAUGUUUCCAUGUGUAUUAUUAAUCUUUUGUGACAUCUCCCCGUGCAUUGAAUGCAUGGGGUGGCAUUCGUUCACAAAGACACGGUUUAUGAACCUCGUACAAGGAUUGCUGAGAAUUGGGCCGUUGACGAGUAAGUCUAUUCGCCGGUAGCUGGGUGUUUGGAUUGGAAAAGUUGGUUUGUGAUUCGGUUUGAUUUUAAAUAAGUCAAUUUUGAGUUAAGUUUAAGGUGUAUUUGAUUCAAUAUAUUUGUGAGGUGGCUCGACUAUAUAGCUUGUUAGUAAAUUCAAUAAACAAAUUAUAUAUAAUAUUUUUUGUGUUAAUGAAAAUGAAAGUGAUAUAUAAUUUAGAUUUAACUAUUUUUAUUGAAAUAAAAAUUUAUAAAUUUAAGAUAGUUUUUUAUUAUAAUAAAGAUAGUUUGCUCUUUAAUUUGAGUCGUUGUGUUUUUUAGUAUAUAAAAUUCAAAUUCAACUUAAAUUUGGAUUGAUCAAGGUACUUUAAUGAAUGAAGUUCAAUUGAGUUCAAAUUUGACUUGUCAACUGUUGUUAAUGAGCCACACUCAAAUAGGCUCGAACUAAAACUUUCUAGCUCAAGUUCGAGUUCACUUAAAAGUAACGAACCGCAUUUGAACUCAAAUUCAACUCGACUCAUUUCGUGAACAACCCUAAUUAAAGAAAAUAAGGCUUUGGUAGAGACAAGGCUACCAUCUCCAAAACACCAAGGGACCAGACACGAUUAGAAUUUAGAACAUAAGUGUUCUGUAAAAUAUACAUUGAGCUUCUGCAUUUUUCAGUUAAAGAAAAGUAUAAUCCAACGCAAGUUUCUGCAUGCAUUCUUUGAAAUCACUAAACUUCAUAUAAACAUAUCCGAAGCAAAUCGAAUAGUCCCCAACUUUCCUGCAUUUGAUUAAAUUGGUGUCUGGAUACAAUAUGUACAUUAAAACCCAUCACCAUGCUGUAAUAAUGAUAAAUGUUCACUCAAUGAUUUAAGAUCAAGGAAUGGACCAUCUCUAAUAAUUCAUAAUAAUCAAAGUACACUUCAAAUUUUCAUAUUCAACUUGUGGAUGAGGGUUAGCAAAAAUCAAGCUUUCUUCUCCACUUUGC